rnacentral:rRNA from 1 species
GUCUGAUCAUGGCCUGAUUGAACGCUGGCGGGAUGCUUACACAUGCCGAACGGGCAGCACGGCACUUCGGUCUGGUGGCGAGUAAGAAACGGGUGAGUAAUACCGGAACGUGCCUAGUAGCGGGGGAUAACUACGCCAGAGCGUAGGGGCGCACAUACCGCAUACGCCCUUCGGGGAAAGCGGGGACCUUCGGGCCUCUGCACUAUUAGAGCGGCCGAUAUCGUGGAUUAGCUAGUUGGUGGGGUAACGGCUCACUCAUAUGACGAUCCGUAGCUGGUUUGAGAGGACGACCAGCCACACUGGGUCCGAGACACGGCCCAGACUCCUACGGAGGCAGCAGUGGGGAAUUUUUGGACAAUGGGGAAACCCUGAUCCAGCCAUCCGGGCGCGAUGAAGGCCUUCGUCAUAAAGCACUUUUGGCAGGAAGAAACGGCAUGGGAUAAUACCCCGUGCAACUGACGGUACCUGCAGAAUGGGCGACCGGCUAACUACGUGCCAGCAAGCCGCGGUACUGGUCGUGGUGCAAGCGUUAUCCGGAAUUACUGGCAUAAAUGCGUGCGCAGGCGGUAUUCGGAAAGAAAGAGGAACCCAGAGCUUAACUUUUGGAACUGCAUUUAACCAUUUGUUGCUGCAUCAGAUGGCGCGGGAAUUCCGCGUGUAGCAGUGAAAUGCGUAGAUAUGCGGAGGAACACCGAUGGCGAAGGCAGCUCUCUGGGAUAACACUGACGCUCAUGCACGAAAGCGUGGGGAGCAAACAGGAUUAGAUACCCUGGUAGUCCACGCCCUAAACGAUGUCAACGGCUGUUUGGGGCCUUUCUGGCCUAUAGCAGCUAACGCGCAGUUGACCACCUGGGGAGUACGGUCGCAAGAUUAAAACCUCGUGUUAACGACGGGGACCCGCAACAAGCGGUGGAUGAUGUGACACCUGAUGCAACGCGAAAAACUCAUCACCCUGACAUGUCUGGAAUCCCGAAGAGAUUUGGGAGUGCUCGCAAGAGAACCGGAACACAGGUGCUGCAUGGCUGUCGUCAGCUCGUGUCGUGAGAUGUUGGGUUAAGUCCCGCAACGAGCGCAAACCUUGUCAUUAGUUGCUACGAAAGGGCACUCUAAUGAGACUGCCGGUGACAAACCGGAGGAAGGUGGGGAUGACGUCAAGUCCUCAUGGCCCUUGGCGGUAGGCGAAGCCACACGUCAUACAAUGGUCGGGACAGAGGGGUCGCCAACCCGCGAGGGAGCUAAUCCCAGAAACCCGAUCGUAGUCCGGAUCGCGCAGUCUGCAACUCGACUGCGCGAAGUCGGGAACCGUCAGCACUCGAUCAGCAUGUCGCGGUGAAUACGUUCCCGGUCCGUACACACCGCCCGUCACACCAUGGGAGUGGUUUUACCAGAAGUAGUUAGCCUAACCGUAAGGAGGGCGAUUACCACGGUAGAUUCAUGACUGGGGUGAAGUUUUGGGACCAUGGGUAA